rnacentral:rRNA from 1 species
AGCGAACGCUGGCGGCAGGCUUAACACAUGCAAGUCGAGCGGGCGUAGCAAUACGUCAGCGGCAGACGGGUGGGUAACGCGUGGGAACGUACCUUUUGAUUCGGAACAACACAGGGAAACUUGUGCUAGUAACGGAUAAGCCCUUACGGGGAAAGAUUUAUCGCCGAAAGAUCGGCUCGCGUCUGAUUAGCUAGGUGGUGAGGUAACGGCUCACCAAGGCGACGAUCAGUAGCUGGUCUGAGAGGGUGAUCAGCCACAUUGGGACUGAGACACGGCCCAAACUCCGACGGGAGGCAGGAGAGGGGAAUAUUGGACGAGGGGGGCAACUCUGACCAAGCCAUGCCGGGUGAGUGAUGAAGGCCGUAGUGUUCUAAAGUUCUUUUGUGCGGGAAGAUAAUGACGGUACCGCAAGAAUAAGCCCCGGCUAACUACGUG